GCCUCGGUGCUGUAGUGGUGAAGCACGCGUCCUCGGAUAGAAUGAAACGCGAGUUCGAUUCUCGCCUGAGGCC